CAUGAGUACCAUGGGCUCCAUGCUGGCUCAUUUUCCUCACAGUGUCCCCUUGACUCCAGGAUUCUUCUAGAAGGUCUCUUGCUCUCCCCCCCUCACAGUGACCUCUCUCCACCUGCCCCUCCUGCCUUCCCUUGGGCCCCUGGGUCCUCCUUCACACUGAGGCCCUGCCUGCCCUUCAUUCCAUUCGACAAACACUUACGAGCAACAGCUGGGUGCCAGGGGCAGGGGUGGGGAGGCGCCUUGGAGUCAGGAGAGAACAGCAGAGACAAGGGACCUCCCUGGGGGAGCUGACAUUUGGGUGGGAGGGCCAGACAAGAGACAAGAUAAAACUCCUGAAUGUGUUCCCUCACAUGGCAAAAGGAACUUCGCAGAUGUAAGUAGGAUGUAAGGGUCUUCAGACAGGGAGAUUAUCCUGAUUACGGGGUGGGCCCCACCUAAUAACACAAAUCCUUAAAUGCAGAAGUGGGAGGCAGAAAGGGGGUCAGAGAGACACCACAUGAGGAGGACUUUCCCUACGAGCUUUGAAGGUGGUGGGAGAGGCCACAAGCCAGUGAGUGCAGGCUACCGUUUCAGCGGCCGUCCAGCAAGAAACUGGGGGCCUCAGGGCUACAACCCCAUGGAGCUAAACUCUGCCAGCGCCUGAAUGAGGUGAGGGCUCCUUCCCUAGAGCCUGGCGGCCAGCUGACACCUUAGCCCAGGGAGGCCUAAAGCGGACUCUGACUCCAGAACCUGAGAUGAUACACGCGUGUUGUGGGCAUUUGCGACGGCAGCAAGAGGAAACCAAUCCAAGAGCAAAGAAACCUGGCACCACUCCUCUUGCUUCUGGGAUCAAAGACCGCCUGGCUCCAGC